rnacentral:ncRNA from 18 species
AUUUACAUUAAAAAAAGCACUCGUAUAAUCGCGGGAAUAGGGCCCGCAAGUUUCUACCAGGCUGCCGUAAACAGCCUGACUACGAGUGAUACUUUGACAUAG